AUUUUCAACAAGCUUCAGUCACAUGAAAUCUUUACGUGAAUGGAAGUAACACAGUGUUACUUACUUUUGGUGGGGAUUUUAUGCGAAGUGAAAAUUUUCAACAAGCCUCGGUCACAUGAAAUCCCCACCAAAAUAAGGAAGUAACACUGUUACUUCCUUGUUUUGGUGAUGAUUUCAUGUGAAAUGACAAUUUUCAACAAGUCUCAGUCACAUUAAAUCCCCAACAAAACCUAUUCCACAAUACAUCGCCUCCUUCAGCUGAUUGUGCAAUGGUUAUAAAAGACAGCACCCACUGUAAAGCCGACACUUCUUCCAAGAUACAGGACAGAGAUUGGGAGCUGACGAUCUAAGCACGAGACCAAAACAUGAGAGUUGCAGUGGGUGCCAUUCUUCUCUUCCUGACUUUGUAUCAGGGAGAGGCACUGAGGUGUAACCUUUGUUUCUCAUGGCAGAGUGACCUCUGUACUCCUACAAGCAUCCAGACCUGUUCGGCAGGACAAAAUGCCUGUGCUGAUGUUAUAUUGCAAGGCGACGUCAGAGCUUCGUUCCGUCAGUGCAUGAACAUGGCGGUGUGUCAGGGCUUCAUUAAGACACCUGGUGUGAUCGCCCUAUGCUGCAGCACCGACCUUUGCAACUGAUCCUCUUCAUUUAAUCUCAGGAUCAUAUGAUCGCUGAUCACUGAUUCCUAAAUCAAGACUGGACGUUGUUAGCUUCAUAUCCUUCUUACACUGCUUCCAAUCAAGUGCACUUCUGUUUGCUUUCUCUUUAAUGGAAUGGUAUUUGUGUGUAGCUCUGUACAAGUGCCAUUUAAUUUAGACCUGACACAAAAGAUCAAAUAAACCAGUGAGCUUUGACUCUUAAUGUCACUAGAUGGCAGUGGCGCAGUAUACAACACAACGAGCCGCUGCUGCAUAUAUAUGUGUGUUUUCAUAUGUGUGUAAGAGCUUUAUUAAAAGACAAAUAGUGAAGCGGAGUGACAUUUUGAUAUCUGAGUUUGACGUCUUUUUUCUUCACAUGAUGAAUUUAAAUGACAAGCGGUGGGGUUUAUCACUUAUUAAAGCCAGGUCGUUUCACCUGAGGUUUAAUAAUGGAUUAUACUGAGCUGAACAUAUGCAAAUGCGACACAUUUUUCAGUCACAGGCAAAGAUCAGCUGAAAGAGAGAUAAAUGUGUUCUCCUCCGAGUGGGUUGCUUGCAUGCCUAUGAGCUGAUGGCUUGGCUUGUCACUUGUAAGAGUAAUGUAGCAUCAAAAGGCUAUUGUAUUAGUCAGUCUGUAAAUCUGAUACAGUGCCAACCAAAUUUAAUAUAGAGGAAGAAACCUCUCUGCUGAAAGAAGCUCUGCUAGAUGUGAGACGGGCAUUCUGUGCAAUAUUAGAAAUAUUACAGUCUGAGCAAUGCAUAAACAUCAACUGAAUCACAUAUGGCGAAUGACAAAUAUUUGAAGCCUGUCUCUCUCUAUACACUGAUCUCAGUUAAUUCAAUUAAUAAUUCAGCGAUUCCCAAUCACAGUGCAGUGGAUGCUCCUUUGGGAAUAGCUUCUCCCUUGAGACUGUGAAUACAUCUGUAUAAGCUUUGUGCAGUUGGACUUUUUUUCUUUUCUUUUUUUAACUCGUUCAGUCUUUGUCAGGCGGCUAAUGGUCCAGUCAUCAACUCUGAAAAAACCCCCUUCAGAUCUCAACAUAAUACGUAAUAAAUAACUUUGGCUUUUCUCCUGUUUCAUGGUCGGUGUAUGCAACUGCUUUAUCUGUUUGUUAUUCCUCAUAACAAGAUUUACAUAAUAAACAUGUUUUAUUUUA